rnacentral:rRNA from 1 species
CCUACGGGCGGCAGCAGUGAGGAAUAUUGGUCAAUGGGCGCGAGCCUGAACCAGCCAAGUCGCGUGAGGGCAGACGGUCCUAUGGAUUGUAAACCUCUUUUGUCGAGGAGCAAAAGACGCCACGUGUUGCGUUCCGAGAGUACCCGAAGAAAAAACAUCGGCUAACUCCGUGCCAGCAGCCGCGGUAAUACGGAGGAUGCGAGCGUUAUCCGGAUUUAUUGGGAUUAAAGCGUGCGCAGGGGGUAGGGCAAGUCAAGGGGGAAAUUAACGCGCUCAACGGCGGAACUGCCGUUGAAACGGGCUAACUGGAGUGUGUGAGAGGAUAGUGGAAUUCGAGGUGUAGGAGUGAAAUCCGUAGAUAUCUGGAGGAACAUCAGUGGCGAAGGCGACUAUCUGGCACAUAACUGACGCUGAGGAGCGAAAGCGUGGGUAGCAAACAGGAUUAGAUACCCCGGUAGUC